CAGGUGUGCCCAAGGAUAUUGUAGAACUCUCUAGCGACAGUGUGGGGAUGGGAGCUCCCGCCGACAGACUCUUGCUUUCUGGCUUGAUUCCUGAAUGACCCGGCAGCAUGGCAGAGGUGGUGGCUACUGAUAUGGCUCUGAUGACGGGAGGAAGACCAGGGUCCUUGGUCUUGCGCCAAUGUAGGGGCAACCCGGAAGAGCCAGACAGAAGAACUACACAAGACAAGGAGCACAGAGGCAAGUUGGAGCACCAUUGCACCCUGAAAACAGGUGGUGCUUGAUGGAGUCUCAUUCUGUUGCCCAGGCUGGAGAGCA